CGACCAGCUACAGCCUGCAACAGGGAGGACAGCUGACAUUUUGUUACAUAAGGUUCCACCGUGUACGUGGUUUGGUGACAAACCUGGGUGAAAGUGAACUCAGAGUGAGUGAUUAAGUGACUGCACCAGAGAGGAGAUGACAUUUAGUGAAGCUUUAGACCAUGUGAAUGGGGUUUCCAUGUACACGGUUUAGUGACGGACCUGGGUAAGUUUACUCAGAGUAGGUGAUAUGUGACUCUGGUCCACAUCAUCAUCCUCUGUCUGCUUAUCUUGUAUUGUAGGUUAUGGUAGGCCUAGUACUUAUUGUUAUUCUAAGGUCUCAUACUCACUGUAACUUGUAGGUUACGGUAGGCCUAUUCCUUAUUGUUAAUAUUGUUGAUAUUUUAAGAUAAUAUUAUAUCAUGAUCAUAUAUUAUAUAUGAUAUUAUGAUAUCGUGAUAUUCACAACAGGUGUAAUACAGAAAUACAUAAUCCAGAACAAAAAAGAAACAAGAACUGAAAAACAGUUCACAAUAGAAUAAUAUCCUAACGCUAAAGGAACUAUGAUGAGGUAAAAGCUUUUUAUACCGAUCUAUAUAGAUAACACCCAAAAAAGCCCCAUAAUUUUGUGUAUGGAACCUGGCACCCCAUCAUCAGGCGCCCUCUACUGGUGAAUAUGUUUCAUUGCACUACCUGUUUACUGUACCUAAACUGCACAAGACUCCAGUGUGAAUGUUAUUCCUCAUUGAUAAGUUGCUUUGGAUAGUAGCCUCAGCUAAAUUAAAGAUUGUAGAAUGUAAAACGUAACUGUAAACAAAUGAAACGAAACAAAAGAACAAAAGCAAUGCUGAAUAACCUCUGGCCCCCUUCACUCCUUUUUCCACAUACCCUCUCCCUCUGAAACAACGAGAGAAUGCUACGACUAUGGACAAAGGAAGGACACACAUUUGUGAGACGUGAGAUGCAGACAAGGGGAGGAACGACACUCACCGGAGGCGGCGGGGUCGAUGCAGAUGGUGCCCCCGGGGCUGGUGCGCGACUUGUCCAGCGAGUGACCACAGGUGCCCAGGUGUGCUCUUACCUGCAAUGCUGACGUAGGCGACGACCCCCUCUGUGCCGCCCUCUUGAGGGAGCAGACUGCGCCCCCUGAGCCCCUGCGCUGCUGCGUGGAGAACCCUGUGCGACUGCACCCCAUCCUGCCCCUCCCCGAAAUGAAGCCAGAGGAGGAAAAGUGCCCCUGAGCUCAACCUGAGAGAGAGAGAGAGAGAGAGAGAGAGAGAGAGAGAGAGAGAGAGAGAGAGAGAGAGAGAGAGAGAGAGAGAGAGAGACUACCAAUGCCUGCAAAAAUAUGGAUGGUAUGACAUCAUGCUAAAAGCUCUGAUAAAGCAAAGCCAGGUUGGCCGUACUGCCAAAUCAAAUUGGAGCCUGCGUAUGAACAGAAAGUAUACCGUACACUUUUGGAGCAAGACAUAAGGAGAAAACAGAAAACCGACUAGCUCUGGUUAAACCCUGUACACCAUGGUGUCUCAGACAACCCCCCCCCUUCCUUCAUUGUCACUGGUGUAUGGUAUCUAGUAUGGUAUCUGGUAUAAGUGGCGUGUGGGGAAAUUUCCUGUAAUUAGACUACACUUUAGCUUUUAAAUGUCUACUCGGGUUGUUGUUGUCCAACAGGCUACACUU